GCCCAUAUAGCUCAGCGGUAGAGCACUUUCUUGGUAAGAAAGAGGUCACCGGUUCAACCCCGGUUAUGGGCUCCA
rnacentral:tRNA from 1 species